rnacentral:lncRNA from 1 species
GACGAGUCCGCCCAACAUAUAUAUCAACAAAAGGACAUCUCAUGGGAGUUGAGACACUAUCGUAUGCUUUUUGUAAGUCAAUGAAAUAUCAUGUUAAGAUCCUUUUUCUCCCUACAAUUUUUCAUCAAUCAUCUUAGUAAAAAAAUAUAGCCUCUAUUGUAGACCUAUCAAGCAUAAAUCAAAAUUGGUUCUCAGUUCAACAUUUCCAUUUAUAUUUUUCCUUUCUGCGUGUGUGAGUGAUGGUGGGGGAGGAGGCUAUGGAAUAACUGGAUUUAAGGUGAGGUUACUUCCCUCUCCAACAUUUUGAUUUAGUUUUCUUAUAUGAUUUUUUUAUGACUGCACUUGUCCAGGCUAGCAUUUGCACAUCUCCACUGAUAAUUCCACAGGAAAACCUGCCACCACCCACCAGAAGCAACCACCAGGUAACUCUGUUCACCAAGGCUACAACAAAUGGGAAUAAAUCACCUAGUGUUAUAUCUUGAUUGGCCUACUUUCUACACAGAAUAGCCCACAAGGCAAAGUUACAAUCUUGAAUACUAAAAAAAUCAACAAUCAAUCAACUACAUCUAUCAAACUACUUGGAAAAUAUAUAUAUAUAUAUAUAUUCCUUUUAAUUUGCGCAGAAAUCACCCAAUACUCAAUAAAGACACAUUUAGCAUCUUUCAGAUGGGAGAUUCUCCAAAUUUCACACUUAUCCCAAUGGUGUGUACUAAACUUGAACAAAACUAGACAGAUAGUUGACACUAGUGUCUAGGAAUGUGCUCGCAUCGUCGCAUAAUGCGAUGAUACAAAACGAUGCAAGUCUCUCUCGCUGUGUGUGACUGAUGUGUGCGCAUCAUGUUGAUUUUGUUUUUAGGAUCAAUUUUAAAUUUAAAAAAAGAGUCACUUCAUGUUGAUUUUAUAUUUAGGGUCAAUUUCAAUUUUUUUAUAAAAAAGAAAGUUUGUGCGGUAACUACCACUGCUACAAUUUUCCAAGGUUAACUUUGAAGGCCACUGUUGUGACUUCUUCACUGUGUAACUACCACUAUUGUGCCUUUUCAUCACUGCUUCACUUCAAUGAUGCGCUCGCAUCGCUUCACGCUUUGCGUAAUGCGUGAUGCAGAGCCUUGUCGCUUUUUUUCGCAUCACACUUUCCUAAAUCUUUUGCCCGUCAUUUUUUUUAAUCAUCGUUAUAUCUUUCACUCAAUUAUUCUAUUCCUGACUAUGGUAAUUAGUUGAAUUUUUUUUGAAAUAUCAGAUAGUUUGAUCGCAAAUGAGUUCUUUCUUCUCAAAAUCUCAACAAUAUGCAUUACUUAAAGUGGUUCUUUCGAUCAUUCAUCGAAAGGAGACACUUGAUUUUGAAUUUGACCAAUUGAGACAUCAGGAAACAAUAUUCUCAAUUUCUUCAUUCGAAGUGAAUUCUUAGUGUAUUUCUGUAUUCUUUCUAGAUUCAAAGACUAACCACAAAAUCACAAAGAAAAUAGAUUCAUAAGUUCGAUACCUUGUAUAAAACUCAUGUGUAAGAAAUAUCCGAUCGCAUAGAGCGUACGAAUAGGCUGAUUAACAAUUCACAGAUGAAAAAAUGGUAAAAAAGAAAGCAUUCACCCCAACACUGCCUGACACAUGCCAAACCUAAAUAAGAUUAAGUCUUAAUCACAAUUGUUUUAUCCUUCAUAUGGAUCUGUUACUUUCACUUAUGCUGUUCUUAGCUAAACUUGCAUGUAAUCCUGGAGAGAAACAACUUUAUUUCAUAUGAUUUUACGUCUAUUUCAUCCCAUUUUAGCAAAACAACCAUCAACUUAUCACGCCUACAGAUCGGUGCAUUUGAAGAUCCACUAGCACAGUCGUAUAAUCUCAAGUGACAUUCUUUCAUUUUAUUAGUUAUGUGUGCUACUUGCACUCCACUAAAUGUGAUAAUUUCUAAUUUUCUCUAGUCUUGUACUUCCUCCCUUCACAUUUACUUGUCCACUAUACUAAAAAUAAAAUUCACUUUUAUUUGUCGACUUUAGCAUAUAAAGAAAAUAACAAUUUUAUUUUUCCUGUUUUACCCUUAGCAUUAACUACUCAUUCCCAAAUUAUUUUUCCAAAUCCAUUGAAACUAUACAACAUUAACAUGGGUAUUAUGGUUAGUUUCAAAAAAAAAAUAUGGGUAUUAUGGUAAAAUAUGCACUUCACUUACAAUUUUUUAAGGGGAGUCCAAAAGCCAUUGUGGACAAGUAAAAGUGAACGAAGGGAUUAUAGCGUAUAUCAACCUUAACAUUUGUAUCUCACGAUAAACAUCAAAUUACCGUAAUAGAAUACUUAUUUUUUAUGACAGAGAAAUCUAUCUAGGGCAAACUUUAGGACCAUGCAACCUUUGGAACUCGUGGAUAAUGAGUCUAGCCCUUUACUUUUCUCCACUUACAUAUUGGCUUAAUUUCGUAUUGUGCAUGGCUCAAGCCUGUGCGGCUGUGCCUAAGUCACAAGACCCUCAAUCUUUUGCCAUUUGAACUAAGCCCUACGGUCAGUUCCAUAAUAGAAUACUUUUUCAUCCCUAAUGAAAUACUUUAACUUCAUAAUUCACCACAUUAACACUUGACUUUAUUUAUUCAUUUAUCUAAAGCAACUUGUCUCUAUAAUUUCUCAAGAAGAGAAAAGUGGUUGUUGGCUCCUAUGUUACGGACUCUUCGUUUUUUGCCGCCAAACCUGUCUUGACGCGAUACUGAUGCGGGAGCGGGUGUCGGCUGCAUCUCAGAUUGGGUCAAAUCCCACCCGGAUACUUUGACCAGAGCCAAGAACAAAUUUGGAAGAAAAAUAGAGAAUUCAAUUUCUUAAAACAAAAAUAAAAUAGUUACAACAAUAUUAUAGGCCUUACUUUUGUCUCACUUUAAGUUCUAAGAAAUUCCGUGAGAAUUCCGUACAGCAACCUAUAAGUUGGAAAACAGAUAGACGACGGAAAAGAACUCGAGGAGUGUAAGAGGGACUUUAUGUCGUCUUGACUCUUGGGAGAAGAAAGAGACGAAUAGAUCUAAAGGGACUUUAAGUCUUUAAUUAAAAAUUGUAGUGUACAUGACUCUUGAUUUCUCUGAGUUCGAAGAUGAUAAGAAUGAGAACUUUUCAGCUUCCUUCUUCAUCUACUUUGACCAAAUGAAAGGACCAGUUGUGAAGAAUCUAGAAGGAGGUAUGUCCUCAAAUUGUACUAGUUUUGUUUUUUGUUAAUUAUUGGACCAGCCACUUUUCUGCCGGGUGAACAAUUUGUUUUUUGUUUUCAUUGUCAAAUAAUUGGUCCAUGUGACCCCCAAAACUAUUUUUUUUUUCUUUGCAUUGUGGCACAUAAGUGGAUAGAUGACACACAACUUUUAAUUGACCAAAUUAUAUAUAUAUUGCAACUAGCAAAUGAGUAAAUAAAUAAAUGAAUUCUACAAUAUACAUGUAAGUUUAUCACAAAAUACCUCUCAAAUUUAGAAUAUCUUUCAAACUCUGUUUUUAUCAUAUUGAAUUUUUCUAGACGAAUCCCCGCACCCGUAUCCAUACUCUUCGCACCCCCGAAUCUUAAAAUUUAAAUUUUGACAAAUCCAGCUCUCGAAUCCACACCCGUCUCGGAAACACGCACCCAAGUCCAAGCAACAUAGGUGGCCCCUACAUAUUCCCCUAAUACAAAGAAUCAACUCUUGUCUUAAGUGCAAAAAGUUUCUUAGUUAGCUACCCUCUUACUUUUCAGUUUAUUUGCAAGCAUUCAUUAGUUUAUCAAUAACAAUACAAAAUUAAAAUCUUAUGUCUCUGUUUAACAUCAGGAUAAUAGUCAUGUUGUACUCAAAUUUUACCUCUUACAGCAAGAUAUAGUAUGUUGAGAGUGCUCUCUCAUUAGUUAUUGGUUUGAUAGGCAAAACAUAGCAAACCCACGCAGCCAAAUUCUUCGGAAGCUACUUCAUAAAUGAGUUAAUGGAAGGUUGGAAUUUGUUUACGUAUCUAACCUAGCUCAUUUUUGUUCUUUAUUUCCCUCAAAAGUUUUAGUCGCCGUUUGGACAUGAAAACUAAAAUUUUCCGGAGUUGGAGUUGCGUUUGGCCAUGUCUUUUUUGAAUUUUUUUUUUUGACUUUUCAAAAAAACUUUUUUAAAUAUGAUUUUAUGCCCCAACUUUUACAAACUAUCAAAAUCACCCAACUAAAAUUUACCUACUAACGGGAAAAUAAUACAGUUAGCCACUUUUAUAAAAAUAAUUACAUAUACAUAGUCAUAUUUAAUGAAUUUCAAUUAUGACAUAUAUAAUAUUUACAUUAAUANNNNNNNNNNNNNNNNNNNNNNNNNNGAGUUGUUAUUAAAUUUUAGGGUGCCGCUAAUUUAUUUCUUUAAUUUUCUUAUACAUGAAAGAUUUACUGUGUGUGAAUAAAUUAUUUCUAUGUAAAACAUACUUUGCAUAUUUAUGGUAUAUUAUAUCAUAUACCAUAAAUAUAUAAAUAUGCUUAGUAUAUUUCUUUAUACUUUGUAUAUUUAUAUAUGUGUGUAUAUGUAUAUAUAUAUGAAAAAUAUGUAUCACCGAUUUAUAUUUUUAGCAUAUAUAUGGUAUAAACUAUUUAUAUUUGAAUAGUAUAAUAAAGAUAUACACAAUAUAAUAAUAUAAUCAAAUUAAAAAUGAGAUUAAUUUGUAGCAGUGGUAAACUAAUUUGCUACAACUUUAUUAAUUCCAUAAAUAUAGAAAACGAUUAUCCAUUACUCCCUCCGUUUCAAAAAGAAUGACUUAUUUUCCUUUUUAGUCCAUUUAAAAAAGAAUGACCCCUUUUCUUUUUUGGCAAUACUUUAAUUUCAACUUUCCACAUAGCAUGUUUAGGACCAUAAGAUUAUAGGGCAUUUUAGUACAUUUGGUACAACUUUAAUUUAAGGCCACAAGAUUUACAAGUCUUCUUUAUUUUCUUAAACUUUGUGCCAAGUCAAAGUAGGUCAUUCUUUUUUAAACGGAGGGAGUAUUAAUUACACGACUAUAAUUCCUUAAACGUCCGUAUCCAAACAGAAAAAUUAUUAUUAUUAUUAUAUUAUAGUAAUUAGGAUCAUUAGCAGUAAAAUAAUGUCUUAAAUAAGGGAGAAAAUUAAAUAAGAGAGAAAAAUAAUGAUGAGAGAAAAACAGAUAUAUAUUAAUUAGGAUAGCAUUAAGUUUGAAAUUAUAAUUAUCUUAUUCUUUAAAACUGCUAUAUAUGUAAUAUUGAAAAAAUAAUGUUAUAAAGAGAGUUUUAUGUAAAAAUUUAAAAGAUUGGAAUUAUAUGUAAUAAUAAUAAAAGUUGAAAUUGGAAUUGAAAAAUUGUGAAAACACCAAAAACCUGUUUUUCCUUUUCAGAAAAAUUUUCCGAAAUUAUUUUUAGAAUUUUCAUGGCCAAACACCACAAUUUCCAACUCCGGAAAAAUUUUUCGGAAAAAAGGAAAAAAAUUUCAUGGCCAAACGGGCCCUUAGUCCCAGCUCAUGCGCACCACCAACUUACAAGACACCUUCUUAUCUCCCAAUAAGACAGGUACCAGUCACGCUAUGCACCAAGACUUAGGUGGAUAGGAAUAAUUCACCUAGUUCUCUUCUACUAGGAUUUGAACAGUGGUUUCAAGGUUGUCACUCCAACCCUUAGAUUGCUAGCACCCCCUUGGGGUGUUCCUUGCCCUCCAAAGCUUGUCCAGGGGUGGAAGUAAAAAAUUAAAAAACCAAAAUUCGUUACAUUAACUAGUCAUUUAUCCUACAUGCUUGUACUACUACUAUUCACUUUGUAGCACAAAAGAUCAUUUUCAAAUGUGUGGACAUGACUAAAAUUAUUUAGAUUAGCAUAAGAUUUGUCAAGUGUAUAUAUAGCUCUUACCCAGCGGGUUUUUGAGAGUUCACCCCAUCCAUGAGUAACAUCAGAAAGAUCUUUCAAAGUUGUGCCGACAUACACCAGGGCAAAAGUUAUUGGCUACAACAGGAUAAAAAAUAAAUUCAUCAAUAACAACAUCAACAAAGCCAGUGAAAUCAUGCAAGUGGGGUCUGGAGAAAUCAUCAGUAGUGAAUAUUAAUAUGAAUAAAAUAAAAAAAAUCAACACAUCAAUCAAUAAGCCUCUGGGUGGAAUUUCAAGGGUUAUUGAAAAGAACAAGGCAUGCAGAUGAUCCUACUAUACCACAAUGGCUUCUUGGUCAAGGUCAUUUCACAUGGAUAGCACCAGCAACAAGUCAACUAUAUAAACCAAUAGAAAUCUCUCUUCCAAGAGGAUGGAUCAAGGAUUUUAAUCUGUCCCUAUGUAUAUUACAAAGGGGUUUGAUAGAGCCUCCCCAGAAGAGAGAGUUAUUGAGCUCUUGAAUAACAUUAAUCUAGAGGCUAAUGUGCUGAGUUGGUGGCUAAUGCAUUGAAGGAAAAGAAGUCGACGGGGGAGGUGCAAUAAGCAGCGCAUCAAAUUGUGGUGUAUCGUAGAAGAAACAAAGUGGGCAAGGAUGUAGGUGGGGCUUCAUUUUUUAUUUUUUUGUGUGUGGGGGGAGGGGGGGUGAGGGAAUUAGUUGUUGAUGGAUUGUAAAAUCAUUAGCUAGACUGUGAGGGGGAUGAUUGACCCAAAUUAAAGGGCCAUCAUCAAAGUAGGCUUUAGGGAAUGGGAGGCAAAUGUGAUAUGUAUCCAAGAAACAAAAAUGGAAAUCCUUAGAGGUAGGUAAAGUAUGAUUAUAUUCCAACCCGGGGAAGUGUGGGAGGAAUUCUCAUUCUUACGGAUGACAGAAAAUUGGAGAGUGUGGAGGUUAUCAAAGGGGAAUAUAUGUUAGGGGUGCGGUUUAAAAACAUUAACAAUGGCAUGGAGUGGGGUUUCGGGGGAAUCUACGAACCGAUGGGGGAGGGGUCUAAGGAGGCUUUUUAGGAGGAAUUAGGAGUUAGGAUAGAGAGGUGGGAUAUACCUUGGGUUUUAGGGGGGGAUUUUAAUACCAUUAGAUUUCCAGAGGAGAGGUUGGGGUAUAACGUGGUGUCUAGGGCCAUGGAGGAGUUCUCAGAGUCCAUUGACAAUUUUUUUCUUAUUGAUUUGCCUUUAUCCGGUGCCUCUUUCACUUGGCCCAGGCCAGAUGAUUCCUCUAGAUCGAGACUAGACAGAGUUCUUGUGUCCACUUCUUGGGAGGAAUUGAAUCCCAAUGUGAUAUAGUUUUCUCUCUCGCGAUUGCUAUCCGACCAUUCACCUAUCAUGUUGGAUGGAAGCAGAGAAGGGCAAAUGAGAUCUCCUAUCAAACUUGAAAACAUGUGGUUAAGUGUGUCGGAUUUUAGGGAGAGAGUGGUUGGUUGAUGGAGUUGUGCAGUGGAGGGGAGGCCUUCUUAUAGGCUUGCUAGAAAAUUGAAAUUGCUCAAAAAAGACAUGAGUGUGGAAUAAAGAAGUGUUUGGAAGGGGGGGGGGCAAAAUCAAGGGCAUUGUGGUUGGAGGAAGGGGAUUCGAACACUAAAUUUUUUCAUAGGACAACAAUCUAAAAUAGGAGAAGGAACUUCAUUGAGUUGGUCGAGGUAAAUGGGGUGGUGCAUGUGGGGAGGAGGAAGUAGAAGGGACAGUUGUAGAGUAUUACAAUCAUUUGUUCAAAGAGGAAGCAAUUUGGUCCUAAUUUGGGGGGUUUAGAGUUUUGUCACAUUGGUGGCGAGAAGUGUAUGUGGCUAAAGAGGAAGUGAAAAAAGCAAUAGAAUGUUGUAAGGGUGACAAAUCUUUGGGGCCUGAUGGUUUCUCUUUGGCUUUUUUCCAGCAUAGCUAGAGCACGGUAAAAACUGAGGUGAUGGAUACUAUUGCGAAGUUUCAAGAAAGAGGGAAUUUUGAAAUAGUUUGAAUGUUUCGUUCAUCGUCAUCAUCCCUAAGCGGGAGGGAGCCUCAAACAUUUAAGACUAUAGACCUAUUAGUCUAGUGGGAAGCAUCUAUAAGAUCAUCUCUAAGGUGUUGUCCAUUAGACUUAAGAAAGUGUUGGAUGAGACAGUAUCUACCUCGCAGAAUGCCUUAGUGGAGGGCAGACAAAUUUUGAAUGCAGCUUUGGUGGAAAACGAAGUGGUGGAUACGAGGAGAAAGCAAGGUGAGUCAGGUGUACCAUGCAAGCUGAUCUUGAAAAGGCCUAUGAUCAUGUGAAUUGGAAUUUCCUAGAUGCCAUUAUGCUACAAAUGGGAUUUGGGAAAAAAUGGAGAAAAUGGAUUAAAUUUUGCAUCUCCUCAGUGAGAUAUUCCACUUUCUCAUUUGAGGAAUAGCCUGCACCCAUAGAAUUCCAAUUUGUCUGAGAGAUGGGUGGAGUUUGUAGAGAAUCAUUUAUUAUUGUAGAUUCUUUACUUUUUUUGUAUCCCCUUGUAUACGGCCAACUGCGUGCCACGUAUGAAUGAAAAUACGUUUACCUGAUUUUAAAAAAAAAAAAAAAGUGCCUCCCUAUAUCAAACCUGGCACAUAUGCAUGAGUUUACAAAAAACCCUUUAUAUCAUAGUCAAAUAUGCUAAUAUUCCCAUUCCACAUGGGUCUUUACAGGUCCUCAAUUAGGUUUAUAGUAUAUGUUUUGCUUUGUUUUUCUAAAAUUGGAGCUACACAGGUGGCUUUUAAACAACUUUAUUGAAUUUAUGAGUAGGGCGGGGAUGGGAUGAGGUUGCCAACUCCAUUCCACUAACGUUUUUGAGAUUGCAUUCGAGAAACCACGUUGCAUGAAUCAUACAUCUGCAACUCAUAAAGCAGAGCUUGGUAAUUCUUUGACUACUACAGUUUCGCUAGCGUGACAUCUACUUUUACAAGGAUAUGAACAUAGUUCUUUAAAUUCCAUUGUGAAAGCACCUUGAUCCAACACAAUGAUCAUAUCUACAUCACAUGGCAAGCCAUGAGAGUGAUUUUGACCUGAGGCAACUGGGAAGGAAGGGGGGAGAGAGAGAUGGAUGACCUCAGAAAAUUCUCUGCCUACUACAGUGAAGUAAGAAAUAGCAUUUGCUUUUACAAGGAUAUGAAAAGAGUUCUUUAAAUUCCACUCUAAAAGAACAUCAACCAGAGUCACAUGGCAAGCCAAGAGAGUGAUUUUGACCUAGAUGCAACUGGGAAAAGAAAGAGGGGGAAUGGAUAGAAAUGCUCAGGCGAUUCUCUGCCUACCACAAUGAAGCUAGAAAGGACGUCUACUUUUACAAGGAUAUGAAAACAGUUCUUUAAAUCCCACUGUAGAAACACCACGACCAUAUCUAUGCCACAUGGCCAACCAUGAGAGUGAUUGUGAUGACAGACAGAUAGAUAGAUAGAGUGAGACUUACCAUCAUUCCCAACCAUGACGCCAGCAUGUAUUCCCAAAUUGAAACUGGUGUCACUGAUAACAGGUAGUUCAGCAUAUUGAACGGAAGCAGAGGAACGAGUCGGAGCAGCAAAACAAUCUGUCCAGUCAUAGCAAAGGAAUGUGCAGGGUUACUUCUGCUCUUUUUGGAAAUUAUUAUCCAUAUUACAGACACACUUCUAAGCCAAAAUGAAAAUUUGAAGAUGACAUCAUUAUCAAAAGGACCUUCGCAGGCCUUUCAUGAAAGACAUAUGAACCUUAAAGCCAGAUUUCCGAAUUGCAAUUGCAACUGCACGAAACUGUGGAUAAUCUUUCAACUUGGAAAUGACAAAUGACCUCCCAAUCUGUCAAGAUGUGAGUGAAAGAAAAACAAUUAAUGAAAAUAAUCAGUUCAGAAAACAAACCUUUUAGGGGUAUGGCACAAGAAUACAUAAACAGAAAGGAAAAUGAAGGGAAAAGCAACAAAAAUUAUGCCCUAUCCACACACAGUUUGCACAUGCAAGCCCAUAUUCUGAAGAAAAAGUCGUUCAAAAAUGACAAAUCUGCAGCCUAGUACCUAGGGUAGUCCAGUUUUUGUAAUAUAACUAGAGUAACAAUCAGAGCUCUGGGAAAUGGACUAUGGAAGUAAUCAUGCUGUUCUAACUUCUAACUUUUAAGCAAUAAUUCAAGUGAAAUACAUUUUUAACUGCUCAACAAAGUAUCCCUCUCUAGAAUAAAAUAACUUACUGUUCUACCAAGAAGAAAUGCUGCGGCAGCACCAAUGGUAGCACCAAUAGAAUCAGCAACAAAACCCACAGGCAAGCCGAAUAGAUAACCACCACCUAGCUGAAAACAGGACCAUGCAGAGUUCAAAUUCAAUCAUAACUCCUAGAUUCAUUAAAUUAUUACUUUGUACUUAGUCAAGUAUCAUUCAUAACUAAGUCCAUGCUCCAUGAGCAGCAGAGACAGACUGGUAAAGACGUGCUAUAAAAGAAUUUAGAACGGCUGUUAUAAAAAAAUGAGGGUUAGGAAUUAGGAGGGGUGACAUGACUUCAACAGAAAAUGCCAUAAGUUUUACCGUAAGAACUGACGCUGGAACUGCCAAUACUGUUAGAGGAAUGUAUGCAACAGCCCUGCAAGACACAGAAAACAACAUGACCAAAAGCAACAACAACAACAACAAGCCCAGUGUAUUCCCACACAGUGGGGUCUAGGGAGGGUAAAAUGUAUGCAGUCCAUACCGCUACCCCCGAAGAAGUAAAGAGGUUGUUUCCGAUAGAACCCCGGCUCAAGAUAAAUAUAUAUAAAAAAAAAAAAUAGUAAACAAAAGUCGUAAUGAAACAUGAAGCAGGAUGGGUGGCUUAACAGAAGUAAAGAAUCAGAAAUAGUAAAAUAGAACUUAGAGCAAUACAGGAUAGGGGAACUAAGAGCCAUAAGCUAUAAGCUAUAACAAAUAAGAAAAACGAAAUCUAGAAUUGGGUAUCCGCUAGUAGUAACCAACACUCACAGACCAAAGCCACCCACCACACCCAGUCUCUCCUGACUAACGGCUCCUACCUAUCGACACAGUCCUACGAUUACUACCCCAACUAAACAGGGACUCUCCUAAUUACUUGCUACAACCCAUGUACUCAUCCUAGCCUUCUACUCUUAUCCGCGACCUCCACACCUUCCUAUCUAGGGUCAUGUCCUCGAUAAGCUGAAGCUGCUCCAUGUCAUGUCUAAUCACUCCCCUCCAGUAUUUCUUCAGCCUCCCUCUACUCCUCCUGAAGCCAUCCAAGGCUAGCCUCUCACACCUGCGAAUUGGGGCAUCCGUGCCCCUCCUCAUCACAUGCCCAAACCAUCUCAGACUUCCUUCCCGCAUCUUGUCCUCCACCGAAGCCACUCCCACCUUCUCCCGAACAAUCUCAUUCCUAACUCUAUCCCUUCUUGUAAGCCCACACAUCCAGCGCAAUAUUCUCAUUUCCGCCACCUUCAAUUUUUGAAUAUGGGAGUUCUUGACAGGCCAACACUCCGCUCCAUACAACAUGGCUGGACGAACUGCCACUCUAUAGAAUUUGUCUUUAAGCCUAAGGGGAACCUUCUUAUCACACAACACUCCAGAGGCGAGCCUUCACUUUAUCCAACUAGCUCCAAUACGAUUAGAGACAUCCUCNNNNNNNNNNNNNNNNNNNNNNNNNNNNNNNNNNNNNNNNNNNNNNNNNNNNNNNNNNNNNNNNNNNNNNNNNNNNNNNNNNNNNNNNNNNNNNNNNNNNNNNNNNNNNNNNNNNNNNNNNNNNNNNNNNNNNNNNNNNNNNNNNNNNNNNNNNNNNNNNNNNNNNNNNNNNNNNNNNNNNNNNNNNNNNNNNNNNNNNNNNNNNNNNNNNNNNNNNNNNNNNNNNNNNNNNNNNNNNNNNNNNNNNNNNNNCCUUAAGUCACUAAACUUGCACUCCAAAUACUCCGUCUUGGACCUACUCAACCUGAACCCCUUAGAUUUUAGGGUUUGCCUCCAUACCUCCAAUUUUUCAUUCACACCCCCCACGUCUCAUCAAUCAGCACUACAUCAUCAGCAAAUAACAUACACCAAGACACUUCACCUUGAAUACUCCGCUUCAACACGUCCAUCACCAGCGCAAAUAGGAACGGACUAAAAGUCGAACUCUGAUGCAACCCUGUCUCGACCGAAAAGUGCGUUGAGUCUCCUCCCGUCGUUCGCACCCAAGUCUUCCCUCCAUCGUACAUGUCCUUAAUAGCUCUGAUGUACUCCACCGGAACCCUUUUCACCUCCAAGCAUCUCCAAAGAACCUCCCUAGGGACUUUGUCAUAAGCCUUCUUCAGGUCGAUGAACACCAUGUGCAAAUCCCUCUUUCUUUCCUUAUACUGCUUCACUAAUCUCCUCAUCAGGUGGAUUGCCUCUGUCGUUGAGCGGGCAGGCAUAAAACCAAACUGAUUCUCCGAAAUGGACACAAUCCUCCUCAAUCUCCACUCAACCAUCCUCUCCCAAAUCUUCAUAGUAUGACUCAACAACUUAAUACCCCUAUAGUUGUUGCAACUCUGAAUGUCCCCCUUGUUUUUAUAUAACGGAAUCAUCGUACUCCAUCUCCAGGCCUCACGCAUUCUCGCAGUCUUGAAAAUAUGUUAAACAAAUCAGUCAACCACCUUAAGCCUGCCCCACCCACAAACUUCUAAAAAUCCACUGGAAUCUCGUCGGGCCCUGUCGCCCUACCCCUCCUCAUCCUACGAAUAGCCAAAAGCAGAUCAGCAUAAAUCUCCAGUGUUGGUUGCACUGCACCAUAUUAGGGUACGGAAAUUUAUUUCACCAAUUUGAGGAAAACCUCUUGUAUAAUUUUCUUUUUGGUUAAAUCAAGGCAAAACCCUUGUAUAAUACAACAACAUACCCAGCAUAUUCCCGCAAGUGGGGCUUGAGGAGGGUAGAGUGUAUGUAGACCUUACCCCUACCUUGGGAGGUAGAGAGGCUGCUUCCAAUUGACCCUCAGCUCAAGAAAAAACAUUUCAAAGCAGGCCGGAAAAAUAAACCUUGUAGAAUACAACAAAAAGGUAUUCUACAUAAAAGCAAUACUUGGAAAUAUAUUCAGCAAUCACCGAUAAAAGUAGGAACACCUGAAAAGAUAUUGAAUUGGAAUGAUGAGUUUUCAGACCUUUCAGGUGAAGAUACUCAUAGUAAUCAUGCUUCUAAAUAAGAAUGAGGACUGACACACCCAAACUUUAUGAGGCUUGUCUCUGGAUUAGACUUCCCUGAAUCAUCUAUGGAUGAAUAUCUUUAAUAUUUCCUUUGGCUUUUUUCUUUUCGGAGAAGCGCACAAACAUGUUGGCAGGGUUGCAAAAAAGAAAAAUAACUUCCAGAUGACACCCAACAACAAGAACAAUGUCUAACAUAUUCCCAUGCUUUUAGUCCGUGCAUUCACAUUUAAUGGUGUGUACAGAGAAAGGAGAAGUGAGGAGCUUAAGCAGAGUAAACAUGAAUAACAGUCACCCUGUAACUCAAUCGCCAAAUGGAUGAAAGAAUAGCAACAUAAACUGGGAUGAGCAUUUAAAGAGCAAAAAUGAACAACUAUAAUGUCUAAACAUUGGACAAGCUUCAGGUUAAUAAAGGAGACAAAAUUGUCAUAGACCCUAUAAGCUGAUUCCCAUAUUGCACCCCCCCCCCCCAAACAAAUAAAGAGAAAGGAACACAAACAUAGCCCAUGUGAUGCUGGAUAUACCAGAGUCUAUAUGUUCUGAGAGCACACAAAUAUAGCAGAAACGUAAUGUUUGUAGUACUAUAGUACAUAUCACAAUUUUCCUAAACAACCACUUUUUCCGAUUUAUAACUAAACUGCGAAAAUUCUCGCACGGCCAUUCAUUGAAGUGUGUCCGUUGUAACUGCUUUGGAAUAUAUUAACUAGAAUACCUCAAAUUUGCAUGUAUAUCUGUUCCCACCUUACGAAGGGAGGUGAUUAGACAUGACAUUGACCAGUUAUAGCUCACGGAGGACAUGACCCUUGGUAGGAAGGUGUGGAGGAUGCGAAUUAGGAUAGAGGGUUGGGGGGUAGGAGUGCGUCCUUACUAGUAGGAAGGAGUGCUUUGUUUGUAGUUGUGCAGGUAGUAGUAGUGUUAUGUGUGUUUCGUGUAGAUUCUUGUUCGUGGUGUUAUGGUGAUGUUUGUGAUUUCGGAGAGAUAGGUUAUGGUAUUACUCUGUGGGUGUCUUGUUUCUUUUAUUAUCUAGAGGCAUGUUAUCUCAUUUUGUUGUUUGUUUUUAAGUUUGUUAUACUGUUAGUUGUACUGAGGCAGGGGUCAAUCGGAUACAGCCUCUCUACUUCAUCUAUGGUAGUGAUAUGGACUGCGUACACUUUACCCUCCCCAGACCACACUUUGUGGGAAUACACUGGGUAUGUCGUUGUUGUUUUUGUUCCCACCUUGUCAAGUAACUCAAAUCACUCAACUAAAUCAAAUAUAGGAAAUGGUUUAAAAUGUGCAGAUAACAUUUACAUUUAAAAGCAUACUUACAAGACAAGCGGACCCCAAGGACCAAGAUCUUGCUCAAUCCAUAGCAAGAAAUCUUUCAGUAUCUGAAAAGAAAAACAUAUUACAACAGAGAGAGAUAAAUAACUUGAAUCAACAAGGCUCCAUAGACAUGCAUCUGAGUUAACCAGAUCAUACAGCCUAUGUAUCAAGUUUAUUGACAGAAUUUCACAGAAUGACAACCAAAAGAGUGAGUUCCACGCCUCCACUUGAUUCAUUAUCCAUUUAAAUUGUUCCAGAGUUGGGGCUUAAGAAUCCAAUCUAGUAAUAUCACAAAUGAAUCUAGAAGUAAGUUACAUCAGGUGGAUCACACAUUAUGAAGCUCUGAACUUAUAGUCUAAGUUGCUCGGACUUGGGUUUGGGUGUCCAAUAUGGGUACGGAUCUAGAGGUCAGUUCCUUCACAGUCUCAAUUUAAACAUUCGGGGAUAUGGAUCUAGGGAUGGAUACGUGUGCGGGGAGUCGGUGAAAAAUAAUUAAAUAUCUAGAAAUAAAGUUAUAAAACAUAAAUUAUGAGAUAUUAUGUGAAAAACUUGAGGAGAAAAUAUUGUUCAAGAAGAAAAUCUUGAAAGGAGAUAAAAGGAAAAGAAAUAACAUAGAAAUUUCUAUAUAUAAGGUAUUCCAUUUUCUUCAAUUUCACCUUAGCUUUUGUUUUUAUUACAGAAUUUCUUAAAUCUGUCCGAACUUCCACAGUCGAUUUUGGUCAAAGUACUCAAAAUCGGAUGACCAGCUCGGGUACGGAUCCCACACCCACGCCCAUGUCGUGUCGACACGGGUGCGGCACCGAAAGUGAAGAGUCCGAGUAACUUAGCUUAUAAUCACUGGAAAAUAAAGUCAACUUCACUUGGAAUAAAUUGGCCACAGGUCUAUAGUAGACAAGAAAUACAGCAAGAAAACAAUUACUCCAAUGAAAGUCCAAAUUACACAUUAGUUUUCCCAGCUCUGAAAUAAGCUCACUUUUUCAUCAUAGCUCGUGUAAAUCAUACUUAUGAAAGAUGCUAAUAAGAUUUUCUUGGAACCAAACACCACCGAUAGUCACAGAUAACAACGUAAAUACAAACCCAAAACUAUAACCUCUACUUGAACUGAUACAUGCAACCAAAUAAAUCAGAUCCAGAAAGGAUAAUCAUCUCAAUUAAAAUAGAAACAAAACUACACACUUUAAACCCAAACUAGUUGAGGUGGCUUAUCAAUGUUCUAUAUCCAUUUUGCUCUAUUUGGUCAUGUUUCAUUCGAAAAUCACUAAUUUACAUUUUAAGACUAAUUAGGUUAUGCUCUAAUCUUUCUUGAGCUGAGGGUCUAUGAGAAACAGCCUCUCUACCUACGGUAUGCAUACACUCCACCCUCCCCAAACCCCACUUUGUGGGACUACAUUGGGUAUGUUGUUGUUGUUAGGUUAUUCUCCAAUCUCACACUAAUCCCUAAAACUGGCAUACAAAAGCUCUGGCCAAACUAAAAAAACUCCUAGCAUAUGAAUGACAAUUCACACAAAGUACAAACAACAAAAACAACAUACCCAGUUUAAUCUCACAAAGAGGGGUUUGAGGACGGUAGACUAUAUGCACACCUUACCCCUACCUCAUAGAGAUAGAGAGGUUGUUUCCAAUAAACCCUCUGCUUAAAAUAAAGCAUAUCCAAGAACACAGACCACCCUACCUCGUAGAGAUAGAGAGACAGUUUCCGAUAGAUAGAGGCUCGCUAAAAAUAAAUCACACCAAGUAGUUUGAAUCCCAAUUUGGCAAAUGAAUGAUUCCUCACCAAACAUAUUCUGUACACAAAUUGCAAAAUGCAGAUACUUUGGCAUCCAUAAAAAAAAAAAAAGUCAAAUUCAAGGUAACCAAGACCCAGAUCACGAAAUCGGUGAAUUUCAUUAAAUUAAAAGAGAAGGAAAACCCAGAUCAAAUGAAUGAAAAAUAACAAAAAAACCAAAUGUACCUUUUCAACAGGAAGAGUGAAACAAGCGGUGGCAAUGGCAGCGAGAAGGAGAAGAAGGAAGGUGAACUUAAGAAGGGAAGACCAAUUGAAAGCCAUAGAUAACCUCUUACGCCAAGGCCUACACUCCUCUUCGUCCUCCUCUUCUCUACUUGCUUGCU